ACGGGGGGUGCAAGCGUUAUUCGGAUUUAUUGGGCGUAAAGAGCGCGUAGGCGGUUUAUCAAGUCAGAUGUGAAAGCCCUGGGCUCAACCUGGGAAGUGCAUUUGAAACUAGUAGACUUGAGUAUGGGAGAGGGGAGUGGAAUUCCUGGUGUAGAGGUGAAAUUCGUAGAUAUCAGGAGGAACACCGGUGGCGAAGGCGACUUCCUGGACCAAUACUGACGCUGAGGCGCGAAGGCGUGGGGAGCAAACAGGAUUAGAUACCCUGGUAGUCCACGCAGUAAACGGUGAUCACUAGGUGUAGCGGGUAUUGACCCCUGCUGUGCCGCAGUUAACGCAUUAAGUGAUCCGCCUGGGGAGUACGAUCGCAAGGUUA
rnacentral:rRNA from 1 species